AGCGAACGCUGGCGGCAGGCUUAACACAUGCAAGUCGAGCGGGCCCUUCGGGGUCAGCGGCAGACGGGUGAGUAACACGUGGGAACGUACCCUUUGGUUCGGAAUAACGCUGGGAAACUAGCGCUAAUACCGGAUACGCCCUUUUGGGGAAAGGCUUGCCGCCGAAGGAUCGGCCCGCGUCUGAUUAGCUAGUUGGUGGGGUAAUGGCCUACCAAGGCGACGAUCAGUAGCUGGUCUGAGAGGAUGAUCAGCCACACUGGGACUGAGACACGGCCCAGACUCCUACGGGAGGCAGCAGUGGGGAAUAUUGGACAAUGGGCGCAAGCCUGAUCCAGCCAUGCCGCGUGAGUGAUGAAGGCCUUAGGGUUGUAAAGCUCUUUUGUCCGGGACGAUAAUGACGGUACCGGAAGAAUAAGCCCCGGCUAACUUCGUG
rnacentral:rRNA from 1 species